GACAGAGGGUGCAAACGUUGUUCGGAAUCACUGGGCGUAAAGCGUGUGUAGGUUGCUUUGUAAGUCGGAUGUGAAAGCCCCGGGCUCAACCUGGGAAGUGCACUCGAUACUGCAGAGCUUGAGUAUCGGAGAGGUUGGUGGAAUUCUCGGUGUAGAGGUGAAAUUCGUAGAUAUCGGGAAGAACAUCGGUGGCGAAGGCGGCCAACUGGACGAAUACUGACACUGAGACACGAAAGCGUGGGGAGCAAACAGG
rnacentral:rRNA from 1 species